GAGUUUGAUCUUGGCUCAGAUUGAACGCUGGCGGCAUGCCUUACACAUGCAAGUCGAACGGCAGCAUGAUCUAGCUUGCUAGAUUGAUGGCGAGUGGCGAACGGGUGAGUAAUACAUCGGAACGUGCCCUGUAGGUGGGGAUAACUAGUCGAAAGAUUAGCUAAUACCGCAUACGACCUGAGGGUGAAAGGUGGGGGACCGCAAGGCCUCAUGCUAUAGGAGCGGCCGAUGUCUGAUUAGCUAGUUGGUGGGGUAAAGGCCCACCAAGGCGACGAUCAGUAGCUGGUCUGAGAGGACGAUCAGCCACA
rnacentral:rRNA from 1 species